rnacentral:lncRNA from 1 species
GCGUGGCUGCCUAGUGAUGACAUCUUUCUUUCCCGCCCACCCCUCCUCACAAGCUUCUUAGCGAUUUGGUUUUGCUGUGCAUCUGGCAAAAUGAAGCUGGCCCAGUGACAAAUUUGGUUGCCUAACCAGGAGCUUUUACUGGCAGGGGCCAGGUUGAGGAAGAAAGGGGAACAAAUGGAGAAUGACGUAACUGGCUACUCCACUGGUGGCUGCCUUAACACAGGACGAGCUGGACCAAAUCGAGGAACCCACAGGGACUUAGCAAGAGGUAAGAGGUGCCAAACUUCCCCUUGAAUGGCCCGCCCGAUUGUGGGUGCACUCUGGCUUCCUUUCAGCUCUUUGCACGUGUAAAGCUCUUUCUUGCCUCAGGACGUUUGUACAUGCUGUUCUCUUGGCCUCAUAUGCUUUCUCUACUUUCUCUCCAGUUACCUCCUCCUCAUUCUAACAUGUCUAUCACUAUACAGAUAUCUUGGCCUAGCUAAAUCAGGUUUCCUUCAAAGCUCUGAGUGUUUUGUUGUGCUGUCCCUUUUCUUCCGCUUGACUCUAAAUUCCAUGAGGGUAAGCAAGUCCAUUUCAUUGGAUAUGCCCAAUUCUUAGCAUGAUUCCUGACACACACGAGAUGCUCAUUAACCACCUAUUGAUCCUGGGACAUCUGAAUCUAGAACAAAGCUACAGGCGAGAAAUUUGUGGUUCCUAUCUAGUCCUUCGUUUGAAUUCAGCAGGACGAGAGUAGUGUAACAGCUUUAAUGUAAGCUCCGUAAAGGGACUGAGGGCAACACGGUGCUUGUAUCUGCCUCCAAGAUAUUUAACACUCCUGAUAUGGUGGUUAUUGCAUAUACUAGGAAAUCACGGCAGCGCUUUUGAAACAAAAAUGCUACUCCUGGCUCUUCUGCUCUUUAAAUCAUUCCAAUGAUGCCUAUUCCUUCUCCUUCUGUGUGUGGGGAUCUGCCGGUUUGCCUUCUGCUGCCGUGGAGCAUUAUAUACCCCUCUGCCUAUUGUGGCUAAGUUGGAGGGCUUGCUCCACUUUACCAAGACAGGCACCCACAUACUCAUAACUGCCAAGUACACCUUCCUCACCCUGACUUCUCUAUCUGAAUAUACUUCUCUUUCAUGGACCUCCAGGCCCCGUUUGAAUUUUCCGUAUUUCCAAAUGACUCAUAGUCUCCUCAGCCAAAUUAAGCAGAAGCCUGGAAUCCAUCUAUUUGACAAGGUUUAACUGUUGGUUUUGUCAGGUACUCCUCUGCGUGCAGAAUCAGAGAAAUGAAAGAUGUCAUCCACAUCCUCAGGGGCUAAUUGUCUCAGGAGGUUGCCUGUAUACACACUUAAAAAAAAAACCCUUAUUAUCAUUAUGAUUAUUUUUGCUUUCUUGGGCUGUCCCUGCAGCAUAUGGAAGUUCCCACUAGGGGUCGAAUCAGAGCUGCAGCUGCUGGCCUACAUGACUGCCACAGCAACGCCAGGUCCGAGCCAUGUCUUUGAACUACACCAUAGCUUUCAGCAACGCUGGAUCCCCAACCCACGAGCGAGGCCAGGGUUUGAACCCACAUCCUCAUGGCUACCAGUCAGGUUCGUGACCGCUGAGCCAUAAUGGGAACUCCCUGUAUGCAGUCCUUAUUUGCCUUUCAUUGGCUUUUCUCAGCUUCCCUCUCACAGUGAGUCUGACUUAUCAGGCUACCCAGGGUUUUCCAUUAAAGAAGAGAAAAACUGAUUGUAGAGUUCAUUCUGAAGUCAUUGUAACCAUUCCUAUUUAGACUUUGUGUCCCAGGGCAUUGUCCUUUGGAGAAGACCCUUGUGCAAGGGUCCUGAAGUCUAAGAAAUGAAUCUUAAAUGGAAGGGUCGACAGAUUAACAUGAGGGCUGUGUAAUGACUUGAAGUUAAACGAGGGUAACACUUAAGGCUGCCUUGUCAUAGCAGGAGGAAUUGAACCAGCUCACUGAGCCCAGGGGGUGUGGCCCUUAUUCCUUGGGCCCCCAGGUAGUGUCCUCUGGAGCAUCACUCACUCUACUCAUGUACCAGUAACCCCCCCAGGCCAGGGAAUAGCGGUUUGGGGCCGGAGAUCUCAGAACACUUCUAACAGGUCCUCCCAGAAGGGAACCAGAGAGAUGAGUAGAAGCAUAACCCUCACUUUUCUGCUUAGGUUCUUGGAAAUACCAUCUGGCUGUCCUCCAUGUAGAUGGUCUUCUUUUUGUGGUAAGAAAUAGGUAAGGUAACGUCAAUAUAUCCUGCCAAUAUUUUUCAGAAUGUCUUGGGAACAGUGCAGUAAAACUGAUCUCUCAUUGCUGUUAUGAAAACAUAAAAUGGGUAGGAAAUGCAUCACUCUGAAACUGGGCGACGGUCACAGUGUACUGAACUAGCUUAUACAAGAUUGGAAGACUUGGAGCUCACAAAUGAUCCCUUUUCAUGAGCAGAAUGCAUCUUUCUCAUCAUGUGCUUUUGUUCCCUACACCAUCCCCUGAACCACCUAAGUUCACCUCAGUAGGGUGAUCACAUUGAAGGGCCUCUGAAAAGAUGAGGAUUUGAUUCAGAGGCAUUUCGAUGUGGCAGAAAGAAUGGAGUUUGGAGUUGGGCACACCUGGAUUCUAAUAUUAGUGUUGACGUGUGUAGACCUUGGGAUCGGCACAGCUUCUCUGGGCUCAUUGUUUUGAGAGCAGCCAGAGUAUGGUUGUGGCUUAGCAUCUGGCAUGAGUAGGGCUUUCAACACUUUGCUUUCUUGCCCACUUCCCCAACUUGUAGUCAGAUGUCACUCAAAAGGGGGUUUUUGUGUGUAUAUGAAAGUGUAAGUAACUUUAGGAGAGAAUGCGGUGAGGGAUGAGGGAAAGCUUCAGCAGAGGUAACUUCUUUUGCUCAAGAUGACUCUGAGUUUUUACUGAUGUCUCAGAAGUAUCUCUGGGCAGGCUGAAGACAAAGGUAUUUGCUUGGUAGGCAUCCAGAAGGUGCCUUUCAGUGCCUUCAUGCCAAGAAUUCUUUUGCCUAAACACAUACUCAAUCAUGAAAAGACGUACUGGUCAUCAGUCAUGCCUCUAUUAGGUCUUAUCUCAGUAGGCAUGGAACUGAAGGGGAUAAGCACUUAGGGAGGUCAGACCCUGUGACUCUUCAAAUACGUUUGCCCAGGGAUGAAGCUUAAAACAAAGGACACGAGCCAGAAUACUUUUGUGAUAACUUUUUUCUUUAGAAAAAAAAAUGUACAAAAAGAAAAGUUAAAGAAGAACCAACAUGGAAGUGUCAAGAGAACAUUCUGAUGGGUACAGACAAGGGAGCGCCUUCUCUCGAAGGAGUUACACAUUAGUUAUUACCAUGCUAGAAAAAUGAGAUGCAGUUAAAAUUGGAGCCAUAAAGUCAAGCUGUUGCUCUGGGGCUCUAGGCUGUAGAUGCUCCGCCACCCUUCCUGUAAAGUAAUACUGUGCAAACUAUAAAAUAUACAUUUUCUACAAAGUCCGUACAGUGAGAUAUACAAAACUGAGUGGAUAGGGGAGGCUGGUAGUGGCAUUUUUGGGGAACGCAGGUGGCAGUAUCACCUGCCAGCCCAAGGGCAUGGCUGCAGAGUGAUCUUGAAUUUCUUACACAGGAGAGGCCCUUAGGUAAGAAAGAAUCAUGCCCAGCAUUGCUCAAAUCCAGGAUUCCCUGUCACUGGUUGUGUAACUUAGGUGAUCUUUUAUUAAUAUAUUACUUUGAAUGUGAUCACGUGUCAAGAAAUCUGAACACAAAGUUCUUUUUCAGGGUAGUAUUUUUUCCUGCACAAUUGAUUGCUGAGAUUGACCAUUAACCAACAUCAUUUUCCCUGUAACGCAAAAGUGAAGUUUCAUUAAAAUUCCAAAAUUCCAGAAGAGGCAGCAACCGUGGUAGUAAAAGAUUAAAGUGAAUUAUUAUGUUCAUUUUAUUGGUAUCUAUAAAACUGAGAAAAGAGGGUUUGUGUACAAAUAUCACCAAACAACAUCAACCAUUGAAUAAAUGUGGUUCUUCGAUGCACACCUGAACAAGAAAGUUUUCUUUAAAAUUCUGGCAUAAAUAUAUUAAAGCUGACCAAAAAAAAAAAAAAAAA